GGGCUGGAGGGCCCCCGGGGAGAAGGCUGUGACUGAUUGCAUCUUAUUACACUCUCUACCCAGAGGGCCACUGCCAGGCUGACUGUUGGUGGAGACUGGACUGAUUGUCUCGUGCGGAAGGUCUCGCGGUAACAGCUGCACUAACAGGUCUCAAGUUAUUGGCUGCUGCUCGCCCCGCCCCUAUUCCAGUUCAAAAAAAAGAGCCCAAGACUCAAGUGGAAGCCGCCGACCCCUUUGCCCUGAUGUUGCUUUGGAGUGUGCUGUUGGUCAUGCAGACCAGGCCUGGUGCAAGCAGGGGAGACUCUGCCUGGUGAGCCCUGGCGGAGCAGGCACCCCUGAGGGUCCCCUGGAGUCUGGCUACCGCAAUCGCUUUUUCAUCCCUGCUCCAGGACUCUUUAGAUGCGUAAUUUGGAACACUUUACUCUUGUAAAGCCCCCGUUUCUUUAUCUAGGAAAUGGAAAGGAAUUAUUGUAUUUACCUCAAGGGGGCUAAAGUUGGACUGUAUCUUGUACUUACCUCAAGGGUCCUCAGAAGGAAAUCUGAAAUGGAGUCUGGAGGUGAACAUUCCAAGGUCAGUAAGGAUUCCAAGCUGCAGAGACUCCAGGUCCUGUCUUGGUGCUCUGCCAUCCUGCCAUCCUCUGCCAUGGCCCAUGUCUGCAUGAAUAUUUGAACACAUGGGUGGAUGGAUAUUCCAGCCAGCAGGACUGAGGCUCGCCGUGACUAGCUUCACACAGAUCAUGGUCCAAGCCUUUCUUCCAGGUACCUACCACCCUCUGUAACCAAAC
ensembl:lncRNA